CGUGCGCUCACCUAUCGUCCGCAUAGCGCUUGGGGGUCGGCGGCCUUCGCUCUUUCCUUCUCCGGCCCGCCUGCACCCGGCCUGUGUAUCGCCGCCGCCGGGGCCUCAGCCACGGCUCCUCCAGCUGUCCCAACCGCGCCUCCUGUCACUGGCUUUCUUCCUCAACGGCGUGCACACCAGCGCUGUAGCGGAGCUUCUCUCCACCAGCGCCGGUCUCCCUCUGUCCGGCGAACUUCGCGGCGAGCCCGCCGACACAGCCACAGCUGCAACCCUCCUCCCCAGCGUCCCCCUCUCCGGCGUG
rnacentral:misc_RNA from 1 species